rnacentral:rRNA from 1 species
GACGAACGCUGGCGGCGUGCUUAACACAUGCAAGUCGAACGCUGAAGACCUGGCUUUUGUUGGGUUGGAUGAGUGGCGAACGGGUGAGUAACACGUGAGUAACCUGCCCUCUUCUUUGGGAUAACGCCCGGAAACGGGUGCUAAUACUGGAUAUUCACUGAUCUUCGCAUGGGGGUUGGUGGAAAGGUUUGUUCUGGUGGGGGAUGGGCUCGCGGCCUAUCAGCUUGUUGGUGGGGUGAUGGCCUACCAAGGCUUUGACGGGUAGCCGGCCUGAGAGGGUGACCGGUCACAUUGGGGCUGAGAUACGGCCCAGACUCCUACGGGAGGCAGCAGUGGGGAAUAUUGCACAAUGGGCGAAAGCCUGAUGCAGCGACGCCGCGUGAGGGAUGGAGGCCUUCGGGUUGUAAACCUCUUUCGCUCAUGGUCAAGCCGCAACUGUGGGUUGUGGUGAGGGUAGUGGGUAAAGAAGCGCCGGCUAACUACGUG